rnacentral:ribozyme from 1 species
CUCAGAGAAUCUAUCUUACUGGUUUUCGCCAAUAAGCAGGAUCUGCCCAACGCUAUGAGUGCUGCGGAGAUGACUGAUAAGCUUGGUCUGCACGGCCUCCGCCACAGACAGUGGUA